GUGGAUUUUGUUUUGUUCUGUGCUGCUACGAACCGUGGUCACUGCAGUGUUUGGCAGGGGUCGUGGGUUUAAAAUCUGCAGUUCCCGACAACGUGAUGUGCGGCGUGUAGCACGCGUUCAAAACUGUCCGCAACGCAUACCAUUCUCCGUGAAAAGGAGCGGGUGGCAGUGCAGCGAGGGCAAGAUGGCAGGAUACCAUGGUUUUAGGAAAAGUUCCGUCUAUGCUGUUGGGUGUACUCUCGCCUGCGAGGGGUUUCAGUAGAAACAUUGCGGUUAAAUCUGUGAAGGUGUAGUUUUCUGAAAAGGUCAAGCUGCUGCAUGGUAGAUUCAUCCUGAGGAAGUUCAGCUUUUAUUAGUUUUAGAUAAACAUACUACAAUGAGCUUAUGAAAUGAUGCCUCUGGAGGGCUUGCAGUGCAUGCAGAAGAGCAGCGAAAGUCUUCACUUGGUACAACAAAUCUUUGAAACGACAUGCAGUCACCAGACGCCCAUUGCUGGAAUGUGAUAGUGUCCAAGAACUCUGACAUUCGCUGCAGCUUUUCAUUCAACUUGUUCUGGACAGCUGGCAGCCCCGGGCAGUCAGUACAUUGAGCGAGCGGCUCAGCCCGUCACCGGAUGCAGUCUACCUAGCUGUAAUAAGCCACUCGUAUCUUUACUGCGUCUAUUUAUUGCCACCACAUACUGAAAUUGACCUCUGAGAACUCCGGAGGAAACCUCAACCAUGAUGUAGAGAGAUGUAAUAUUUUUUUUAAGGAGCAAUGGAGGUGACAUUUAACAUCGCUCAAAAUCCUGCCUCGUCUGUCAAGCUGUCCACCAGGAGUCACCAUGCAAAAUAUUUUCGCUCUGUGGUGCAUUAUAGCUGUGCAAUCCAGUUUACAACAAACUGUUCCAGAAAGCAGCUGCUGCCGGGUUGCCGGCACAAUCUUCGCGUAUUGGGGGAGAAUGCCCUGAGCCUUUUUUCCUUCGUUCUCUCUUCUCAAAUCACGUGCCACUUAUACGAGCUUGAGCUGUGCCGCUGUACGUCACUGGUCACGUGAGGGGAGUAGCAUAGGCCAUGAUGUCCUCUCAUUCUGCGAUGCGCUCUUUUCACAAGGAGGAUUUUUCAAAGGAUUUGCCGCAGCAGAAAAAGAAGGGCCUAACCAUCAGCAUGGGAGUGCACGUUCUGCUGCAGCGUAGUGUCAUGUUGCCAGUCCUAACAGCCAAUACGGAAGCAGAAUGCUGUGAAGCGUUAUGGAUCCUAGUGCCAGGAGUCCAGGUUUGAAAAUUUUGUGUCAUCAUCACUGCAUGUACUGUAUAGCAACCACAGAAGAGUACAGUUCUGCCAUCAAUUUUAGACGUCUCUAAAAACCUUUAUGAAGCUGUCGGGUCACUGUUCUGUCAAAAGAAGGAUAUCAGGCAUGUCUAGACGAUGUAGUGUGGUGAACUGCGCGCAAAUAUUCUUUACAGCCCUUGUUUUAACCCUUUAAAUUUUGUGAUACAGAGCAACAGAGGGUAGUUGUAUAGGGCAUAGGGUAUGUGUGCACAGGCACUAUGAGAUGGUGUGCCAAACUUUUGCAUAUUUCAUACUGUGGUCUGCAUGCUGCUAAUGUCAACGUCUCAUCUUAAAAGUCUUCAUCAGGUGUUGUAUGUAUUGAUACUUCCUCAGAGAUGUUUGUAAACACAUUAUCAGUACUGCAAUCGCAGAGUGCUAGAAAGGCACUACAGAAACACACACACAAACAAAUACACACAAAUAUACAAUGCACGUUCCUCCUCAUGCAAUGUGUCCUGUACAGGACACCUUUGAGAAAAAUAAAUUAAAUGAAAUAUGCGACACAAAAAAUGACGCAAACAUCCACCAGGACAAAUCUCUUGAGGUUUUUCUGAUCUAUCCCAAAUGAUGUAUUUGGAUUAAAUUUACAUUUGCAUAAUAUAUAGGGCAUUAUGGAAUUUUUAGUAAAGUGUAGAUGUUAUUGUAGUGGAGUUGUAUACGUUCUGUGAGCUGUGUAGGGCAUAAUCAAGGUCUUUUAUUGGCCCUCAUUGUGGCUCUGAGUAACAAACAACACGCCAUAUUAUCAGAAGAUAUUCUGAAAUGCAUCAAAUCACAGAACGUAGGAACUCUGACAUCUUAAGUAACACUUUCUGGAUAGCCCUGCAUACCAGCUACGCAUCGAUCAGAAGGUCGACAUUAAGAGCAUGUAUACAUGGCGAAAUUUUGUUCGGGGAUUUCAUUCAUGCGCGUACAUCAGCAAAAUGAACUGAUGGCAACCGUACAUCUCACCCAAGGGUGACAUGACCAACUCCAUCUGUGGUCUUCAUUUUCAAUGGACCUUUUUCACAACGGCUUAUGCGCAUGCACAUGACCUUGAGGCGCCGUAGAGGGUUAUCUCAGUCUUCAUUAGAUGGCACAGUAUACGGAUGACAGAAGUGGGGACCAGUGGGGAGAAAGGCGCGAGCUCGUCUGUCCCACUCUGAGCUGGUUUCGGUCCUUUGUGCUACCCACAUGGAUUGGUUUUGACAUGCUCCGUGCGUGGUUCGCUGGAGAGCCACU